AGCAGCAGCCGCGGUAAUACAGAGGGUGCAAGCGUUAAUCGGAAUUACUGGGCGUAAAGCGCGCGUAGGUGGUUUGUUAAGUUGGAUGUGAAAGCCCCGGGCUCAACCUGGGAACUGCAUCCAAAACUGGCAAGCUAGAGUACGGUAGAGGGUGGUGGAAUUUCCUGUGUAGCGGUGAAAUGCGUAGAUAUAGGAAGGAACACCAGUGGCGAAGGCGACCACCUGGACUGAUACUGACACUGAGGUGCGAAAGCGUGGGGAGCAAACAGGAUUAGAUACCCCCGUAGUCCCUGUCUCUUAUAC
rnacentral:rRNA from 1 species